CGAAUGCUGACAUAAGUAACGAUAAAGCGGGUGAAAAGCCCGCUCGCCGGAAGACCAAGGGUUCCUGUCCAACGUUAAUCGGGGCAGGGUGAGUCGACCCCUAAGGCGAGGCCGAAAGGCGUAGUCGAUGGGAAACAGGUUAAUAUUCCUGUACUUGGUGUUACUGCGAAGGGGGGACGGAGAAGGCUAUGUUGGCCGGGCGACGGUUGUCCCGGUUUAAGCGUGUAGGCUGGUUUUCCAGGCAAAUCCGGAAAAUCAAGGCUGAGGCGUGAUGACGAGGCACUACGGUGCUGAAGCAACAAAUGCCCUGCUUCCAGGAAAAGCCUCUAAGCAUCAGGUAACAUCAAAUCGUACCCCAAACCGACACAGGUGGUCAGGUAGAGAAUACCAAGGCGCUUGAGAGAACUCGGGUGAAGGAACUAGGCAAAAUGGUGCCGUAACUUCGGGAGAAGGCACGCUGAUAUGUAGGUGAAGUCCCUCGCGGAUGGAGCUGAAAUCAGUCGAAGAUACCAGCUGGCUGCAACUGUUUAUUAAAAACACAGCACUGUGCAAACACGAAAGUGGACGUAUACGGUGUGACGCCUGCCCGGUGCCGGAAGGUUAAUUGAUGGGGUCAGCGCAAGCGAAGCUCUUGAUCGAAGCCCCGGUAAACGGCGGCCGUAACUAUAACGGUCCUAAGGUAGCGAAAUUCCUUGUCGGGUAAGUUCCGACCUGCACGAAUGGCGUAAUGAUGGCCAGGCUGUCUCCACCCGAGACUCAGUGAAAUUGAACUCGCUGUGAAGAUGCAGUGUACCCGCGGCAAGACGGAAAGACCCCGUGAACCUUUACUAUAGCUUGACACUGAACAUUGAGCCUUGAUGUGUAGGAUAGGUGGGAGGCUUUGAAGUGUGGACGCCAGUCUGCAUGGAGCCGACCUUGAAAUACCACCCUUUAAUGUUUGAUGUUCUAACGUGGACCCGUGAUCCGGGUUGCGGACAGUGUCUGGUGGGUAGUUUGACUGGGGCGGUCUCCUCCUAAAGAGUAACGGAGGAGCACGAAGGUUGGCUAAUCCUGGUCGGACAUCAGGAGGUUAGUGCAAUGGCAUAAGCCAGCUUGACUGCGAGCGUGACGGCGCGAGCAGGUGCGAAAGCAGGUCAUAGUGAUCCGGUGGUUCUGAAUGGAAGGGCCAUCGCUCAACGGAUAAAAGGUACUCCGGGGAUAACAGGCUGAUACCGCCCAAGAGUUCAUAUCGACGGCGGUGUUUGGCACCUCGAUGUCGGCUCAUCACAUCCUGGGGCUGAAGUAGGUCCCAAGGGUAUGGCUGUUCGCCAUUUAAAGUGGUACGCGAGCUGGGUUUAGAACGUCGUGAGACAGUUCGGUCCCUAUCUGCCGUGGGCGCUGGAGAACUGAGGGGGGCUGCUCCUAGUACGAGAGGACCGGAGUGGACGCAUCACU
rnacentral:rRNA from 1 species